GACGAACGCUGGCGGCGUGCUUAACACAUGCAAGUCGAACGGAAAGGCCCCUUUGGGGGUACUCGAGUGGCGAACGGGUGAGUAACACGUGAGUAACCUGCCCUUGACUUCGGGAUAACUUCAGGAAACUGGGGCCAAUACCGGAUAGGAAUCCUUGCUGCAUGGUGGGGGUUGGAAAGCUUCGGCGGUUUUGGAUGGACUCGCGGCUUAUCAGCUUGUUGGUGGGGUAGUGGCUUACCAAGGCGUCGACGGGUAGCCGGCCUGAGAGGGCGACCGGCCACAUUGGGACUGAGGUGCGGCCGAGACGCGUACGGGAGGCAGCAGGGGGGAAGAUUGCACAAUGGGCGGCGGCCGGAUGCAGCAGCGCCGCGUGCGGGAUAACGGCCUUCGUGUGGUAGACCGCUUUCAGCAGGGGCGAAGCUUGUGGUGACGGUACCUGCAGAAGAAGCACCGGCUAACUACGUG
rnacentral:rRNA from 1 species